GCCUAUGUGGCUCAGUUGGUUGGGCAUCAUCCCAUGCAUUGAAACUUGCUGGUUCAAUUCCUGCCAGGUGCA
rnacentral:tRNA from 1 species